AAAACAUCGCCUCUUGCAAAGUAAUGAAUAAGAGGUCCCGCCUGCCCUGUGACUCUAAGUUUAACGGCCGCGGUAUUUUGACCGUGCGAAGGUAGCGCAAUCACUUGUCUUUUAAAUGGAGACCUGUAUGAAUGGCAUAACGAGGGCUUAGCUGUCUCCUUUCUCUAGUCAAUGAAAUUGAUCUCCCCGUGCAGAAGCGGGGAUAGAACCAUAAGACGAGAAGACCCUAUGGAGCUUUAGACGCCAAGACAGACCAUGUUAAACACCUCCCCAUAAGGAGCCCAAACCAAAUGGUCCCUGCCCUAGUGUCUUUGGUUGGGGCGACCGCGGGGAAGCAUAAAACCCCCAUGUGGAAUGGGAGCACCCUCUCCUACAACUAAGAGCUACAGCUCUAAUGAACAGAAUUUCUGACCAACAAGAUCCGGCAAUGCCGAUCAACGGACCGAGUUACCCUAGGGAUAACAGCGCAAUCCCCUUUUAGAGCCCAUAUCGACAAGGGGGUUUACGACCUCGAUGUUGGAUCAGGACAUCCUAAUGGUGCAGCCGCUAUUAAGGGUUCGUUUGUUCAACGAUUAAAGUCCUACGUG
rnacentral:rRNA from 1 species